rnacentral:rRNA from 1 species
GGGUUGUGAGGUUAAGCGACUAAGCGUACACGGUGGAUGCCCUGGCAGUCAGAGGCGAUGAAGGACGUGCUAAUCUGCGAUAAGCGUCGGUAAGGUGAUAUGAACCGUUAUAACCGGCGAUUUCCGAAUGGGGAAACCCAGUGUGAUUCGUCACACUAUCAUUAACUGAAUCCAUAGGUUAAUGAGGCGAACCGGGGGAACUGAAACAUCUAAGUACCCCGAGGAAAAGAAAUCAACCGAGAUUCCCCCAGUAGCGGCGAGCGAACGGGGAGCAGCCCAGAGCCUGAAUCAGUGUGUGUGUUAGUGGAAGCGUCUGGAAAGGCGCGCGAUACAGGGUGACAGCCCCGUACACAAAAAUGCACAUGCUGUGAGCUCGAUGAGUAGGGCGGGACACGUGGUAUCCUGUCUGAAUAUGGGGGGACCAUCCUCCAAGGCUAAAUACUCCUGACUGACCGAUAGUGAACCAGUACCGUGAGGGAAAGGCGAAAAGAACCCCGGCGAGGGGAGUGAAAAAGAACCUGAAACCGUGUACGUACAAGCAGUGGGAGCACGCUUAGGCGUGUGACUGCGUACCUUUUGUAUAAUGGGUCAGCGACUUAUAUUCUGUAGCAAGGUUAACCGAAUAGGGGAGCCGAAGGGAAACCGAGUCUUAACUGGGCGUUAAGUUGCAGGGUAUAGACCCGAAACCCGGUGAUCUAGCCAUGGGCAGGUUGAAGGUUGGGUAACACUAACUGGAGGACCGAACCGACUAAUGUUGAAAAAUUAGCGGAUGACUUGUGGCUGGGGGUGAAAGGCCAAUCAAACCGGGAGAUAGCUGGUUCUCCCCGAAAGCUAUUUAGGUAGCGCCUCGUGAAUUCAUCUCCGGGGGUAGAGCACUGUUUCGGCAAGGGGGUCAUCCCGACUUACCAACCCGAUGCAAACUGCGAAUACCGGAGAAUGUUAUCACGGGAGACACACGGCGGGUGCUAACGUCCGUCGUGAAGAGGGAAACAACCCAGACCGCCAGCUAAGGUCCCAAAGUCAUGGUUAAGUGGGAAACGAUGUGGGAAGGCCCAGACAGCCAGGAUGUUGGCUUAGAAGCAGCCAUCAUUUAAAGAAAGCGUAAUAGCUCACUGGUCGAGUCGGCCUGCGCGGAAGAUGUAACGGGGCUAAACCAUGCACCGAAGCUGCGGCAGCGACGCUGAUGCGUUGUUGGGUAGGGGAGCGUUCUGUAAGCCUGUGAAGGUGUGCUGUGAGGCAUGCUGGAGGUAUCAGAAGUGCGAAUGCUGACAUAAGUAACGAUAAAGCGGGUGAAAAGCCCGCUCGCCGGAAGACCAAGGGUUCCUGUCCAACGUUAAUCGGGGCAGGGUGAGUCGACCCCUAAGGCGAGGCCGAAAGGCGUAGUCGAUGGGAAACAGGUUAAUAUUCCUGUACUUGGUGUUACUGCGAAGGGGGGACGGAGAAGGCUAUGUUGGCCGGGCGACGGUUGUCCCGGUUUAAGCGUGUAGGCUGGUUUUCCAGGCAAAUCCGGAAAAUCAAGGCUGAGGCGUGAUGACGAGGCACUACGGUGCUGAAGCAACAAAUGCCCUGCUUCCAGGAAAAGCCUCUAAGCAUCAGGUAACAUCAAAUCGUACCCCAAACCGACACAGGUGGUCAGGUAGAGAAUACCAAGGCGCUUGAGAGAACUCGGGUGAAGGAACUAGGCAAAAUGGUGCCGUAACUUCGGGAGAAGGCACGCUGAUAUGUAGGUGAAGUCCCUCGCGGAUGGAGCUGAAAUCAGUCGAAGAUACCAGCUGGCUGCAACUGUUUAUUAAAAACACAGCACUGUGCAAACACGAAAGUGGACGUAUACGGUGUGACGCCUGCCCGGUGCCGGAAGGUUAAUUGAUGGGGUCAGCGCAAGCGAAGCUCUUGAUCGAAGCCCCGGUAAACGGCGGCCGUAACUAUAACGGUCCUAAGGUAGCGAAAUUCCUUGUCGGGUAAGUUCCGACCUGCACGAAUGGCGUAAUGAUGGCCAGGCUGUCUCCACCCGAGACUCAGUGAAAUUGAACUCGCUGUGAAGAUGCAGUGUACCCGCGGCAAGACGGAAAGACCCCGUGAACCUUUACUAUAGCUUGACACUGAACAUUGAGCCUUGAUGUGUAGGAUAGGUGGGAGGCUUUGAAGUGUGGACGCCAGUCUGCAUGGAGCCGGCCUUGAAAUACCACCCUUUAAUGUUU